UUUUCUUUGCUUACGUCGACAGUAGUAAGAUUGAGAUCGGAGAGAUCCUCGUCGGCGACGAAACACACACACUCACACACUAACGAAUGUGCUGACACAUAAUAUUCUCUUUUCUUUUCUUUUUUUGUUUGCUUCUCUUACUGAAUACUUCCCGCUUAAAAGGUGGCGAUUCCUUCUCCAUCCCCUCGUCUUCCUUUUACUCUUUCCUCCUCCCCCUUUUUUCUUCUUCCUUCUCGUUCUUUGUCUAUAUACUUUAACACCAUAUUUAUUCCCUUUUGUUUAAAAUUUUUUUUUGAGGUAGAAAAAAGCCAGUUCUACUUAACUUUAAUAGUGAAGCUUAAAUUUAGUCAUUUUUAAGUCUCUCAAUUACAAGUACACUAAAAUACACGCACUAGUACGACAGAGUGUUAAUCCAGUUGAAUUGUUGCAAUCUGGCUUUUGCCGGCCAUCGGAGGAGGAGGAAGAGGAGGAGCUUCUUCAGUUUUCCAGCUGAAAAAAGUUAAAAAGGGGAGAAGGGAUUCACUGACACGGUGGUGCAGAACUAGUCACGUGUGGAUCGCGCGUUUUCUCGCUCGACCAAUUCCAUUCUUCUUCCUUUUUUUUUUAAAGUUUGUUAUGAGAUUCUUUAAAAGUAAUAGUUGCCUAUGAGGGCAUCUAAACCAUGGUGGUGGCUGCUGAAAAAAAGGCUCGCUAUAUUUGAUGGGGGAACAUGUGGAGCAAAGAUGAAACCACUGCCAUUUAUGGUAGUUAUCUGUACAUUAAUGUUGUUCGUGGUGUAUAGGACCACUAAUUAUCAGUACCGACAAACAGAGAUGGAGUCAAGAUUAAGGCCUUUUUUUAUGCUAAAGGAUUCUGGUAUACCUACUACGAGUUUGAAUGCAUUACCUCGUGGCAUCAUUGAGGCCAGAUCGGAUCUAGAGUUAAAGCCUCUAUGGUCAAGCGAUAGUUCAAGAAAAGAGCUCAAUACUCCCAGUUCUCAGUGCUUAUUGGCUAUUCCAGUUGGUAUUAAGCAGAAGCGCAAUGUUGAUAGAAUCGUACAAAAGUUUCUUCCAGAGAAUUUUACAAUUGUUCUUUUCCACUAUGAUGGCAACGUGGAUGGUUGGUGGAACCUUGAAUGGAGUAAGAAGGCAAUACAUAUGGUUGCCUUCAACCAAACCAAAUGGUGGUUUGCAAAGCGCUUCUUACACCCAGCUGUUGUAUCUGCUUAUGAUUACAUAUUCUUGUGGGAUGAAGAUCUUGGGGUGGAGCAUUUCUGCCCAAGAAGAUACUUGGAGAUUGUAAAGGCAGAAGGACUGGAAAUAUCUCAGCCAGCUUUAGACCCUAAUUCUACCGGUAUACAUCAUAGAAUUACAAUACGACAGAGAUCAAAGAAGUUUCACCGAAGAGUCUAUGAAACCAGAGGCAGUACGAAAUGUUCGGAUGCAAGUGAUGGGCCACCAUGUGCUGGGUUCGUGGAAGGAAUGGCUCCUGUCUUUUCAAGAGCUGCGUGGCAUUGUUCCUGGCACCUAAUACAGAGUGAUCUUGUUCAUGGAUGGGGAAUGGACAUGAAACUGGGAUAUUGUGCGCAGGGUGACCGCACGAAAAAUGUGGGAGUGGUUGAUAGUGAAUACAUAGUUCAUCAGAGUAUACAGACAUUGGGAGGGAAAUCUGCCAAAAAGGUGAUCUACCUAUUCACUUCCUUCUCUUUUCUUUUAAUGUACGAGGUUGUUAUUUCAUGGCAUGGCUACACAUAUGCGACCAUUUUACAUGCUACAGCUCACAUCAAUACUAAGUCACUAACUUUUCUAAUUCUGUUUAGGGGGCAGAAGUUUUGGUCCCUGAUAAGCUACUUCAUUAUUGAUAUUUCACUUCUUAGAUGUUUAAAUUGCAGAUAAUGAAAAGCUUUAAGUUUUCUGUCUUUUUAUUUUUCCUUAAAAUGUUUAAAAUGUUUUUGUUGGAUUCUGGUAAUUUGGGUUAUAUGCCUUUAACAUUUUGGUUUUGAAUCGCAAUUAAAGAAAUAUUUCCUUUUUUUUAAUCUAUGCAAAAAUCACCUUAGAGGCUAUCUUGGAGAAAUUGACUUCUGGUGAAACCCAGCCGCAACUUCUGUUAAAAUUCAGCCUUGUUUAAAAACAGAGAAGUGGAUUUUGACCUUAAAAGUUUUAUGAAACAAGAUAGACUGCAAUAUCCCUGUGGGGAGAAGAAGAAGAGGGGCACAUUGUUUUCCGGAUUCCUGAUCUUUGAUGCUUGGUACUCGUUCCACUGCAAAAUCCUCUCUGAAUGAAUAAUAUAUAGAUACUAUGUGGCCAUUUAAACUUUAAAAUCACUUCAGAAUUUUACAAUGACAAAGUCUUCGCUUGAUGUUUCUGGGUCUAGCAUGACCUCCAUUAUUUCCAGGUUCUUUUCUUACCUUUUUGUACCAAAUCCCAAUUUCAAUGACCAUUGUUUUAUACAGCAUUAGCCAAAAAGCUGGAUCAGGGUGGUAAAACCUGCACCCAUUAGUGCAAGCAUAUGCAGUAGUUUAUCAAUCCACCUGUCUUUACAAAGAGUCUGCUGCAAUAAUGAGUAUGACAAUAGACAACGGAAGGUUUGAGGUAAUGAGACUGGCCAACUAUGGUGGAGGAAGAAGGAAUAGAAUUUGGAAGUAAGGAAUGGAGACUCCUAGAUAAGUUGAUUUCUUUAAAAUGGGCUUUGGAAAGUUGAUUUUAGAGAAAUCGAUUUCCACGUUUUGUGGAAAAUGAAUUAAAAGGACAAUAUUUUUUGACGUUCUUCUAAAAAUGAAUUCUUGGUAAAUAGCCCCUGAAGAUUUGCAUACCUGCCCUCAAUUAUAAAAUAGCCAGCCACCAUACAGAAAAACAGAUACCAUCAAAGAUCAAAUUCCACGAGGCACAAGGCUUUAAGGCUUAGCCUUAUAAUGACCUAGUGGAAUUAAACUGCCUGCGUGUUUUAGGAUAAUUCUAGUACUUAAGUUUUCACUCGAUUAUUAAGCCUUUAGUUCGCCACCAUCUAUCAUCAAAGUUGCUGGCUAUUUGACUGAUUUGCAGUUUCCUUUUUGUAUAUUGCUACUAACUUCAACAAGUGAAAACACUCUAGCAGUUGCUACUAACUCCAGUAAGUGAACACACUCUUAUGGUUGCUGUACAGAGGUGGUUGACUGAAUAAUUGAAAUAUGCCUAAUAUAUGAAUCCAACUCACACAUCUGUGUAGUCGUGGCCUGCAUGUGAGGGGACUCUUGUUCAAAACAUAGUUUCUCAAAGCACUGUUGGGCUGAUUAACCUACCCCCACCUAUGUAUCUUUGAUAAGACAGAUAGUUUCAGAUGGUUGAGCUAGCAGUUGAAAUAGAUAUAAUGUCAAUAUUAAGUAGCUGCUAAGGAUACGAGGGUUCCAUUAAAUAACUUCUAACGCUUACAUAAUUUUUGCUUCGUCACGUAUUAAGGAAGAGAAAUCUUCAAUUACAUGGGAAACAAAGCUAUAUAAAGCCAAUGGCUGCAAGAAGCCUUAUUUCAGAAAAACCAAGGCACUGAACCAAAAGAUUACUUUUCCUGAUCCUGAAGUUGCUUGUAUAUGCAUUGAAGAAUUUUGACAUAUUGGUAGUGCACCUAGUUUUUGCUCGCAACUCAGUGCUAGGUUUUUGGUCGGGAGGAGCUUACGAUUUCAGGUCUUGGAUCUGUGCCUGAUUUGCUUACCAUGUAUACUCCUCUGUCUCGGUGCGCUUUUUAACAAGUUGAUGACAAGGUAAUGAUAAUAAAACAUUGACAUCCAUUGACAAUGUUUGAUCUUUGUGCAGACCUCAAUUGCUGGAGGGUCAACAAAGAGGCAUGAAGUUGAUGUACGAUUGGAGGUUAGGAGGCAAUCAACAUCAGAGCUUCAGACAUUUGAAGAUCGGUGGGAGCGAGCCAUUAAAGAGGACAGAUACUGGGUGGAUCCAUAUAAAGGAAGCCAAAGAAGGCGGCGGCGAUACAGCAGAAGACGGCAUCAUAAAGCGUAGCCUUAGUUUGUCCGAUCACUCAGAUUCACACCCUGUAGUUCUUAGUCUCUGCAGGCUAUAAUGAUCAUCAUCAUUAAUUCAUUAUUGUUUCAAUAGUGCCAUUAUUUAUUUGUGCCGGUAAUUCAUUUUUUUUUUUUUACUAAUGUUACAAAUGACUCCUCACUAAUUCCCCUUCCAUGUUUAAUGCUUCAUGAAACGGCCUUUGUGUCAUGGGAUAUGUAAAAUCUGUGUUUUGAUGCAUAUUUUAUGACGUCAAAACCCCAUCAUGCCAUUGGAAAAUCAUGACUCAGUUAAUACUACUAGUGCCUGCCAUGGUUAGGGAUGGCGGUCUUCAGUUACA